UACGUAGGGUGCGAGCGUUGUCCGGAAUUAUUGGGCGUAAAGAGCUCGUAGGCGGUUUGUCGCGUCUGCUGUGAAAUCUGGAGGCUCAACCUCCAGCCUGCAGUGGGUACGGGCAGACGUAGAGUGCCGGUAGGGGAGAUUGGAACUCCUGGUGUAGCGGUGGAAUGCGCGAGAUAUCAGGAAGAACGACCGAUGGCGAAGGCAGGAUCUCUGGGCCGUAAACUGGAC
rnacentral:rRNA from 1 species